rnacentral:rRNA from 1 species
CUAUAGAAUUUUAUAUUAACUUUACCUAGCGGUUAAUGCUGGUCUUUUGUUAAUAUUUGGUUGGGAGGAUUAUUAAAUUUAACAAACUUUAUAUCAUUAUAAACUUUGAUUUAAGAAAAUAUAAUGACCUUCAAUUUGAAAUAGUUAGAGUAAAUUACCUUAGGGAUAACAGCGUAAUAUUUUUUUAUAGACCUUAUAGAAAAAAAUGGUUGCGACCUCGAUGUUGAAUUAAGAUAAAUUUUAAAUGCAGGAGUUUAAUAAUUAAGUCUGUU